AUAUAUAGGCUCUCCCACACAGAUCUUGUCUGAUCUCCAAAACUAGGGUAAGGCCUGGUUAGUACUUCGAUGGUGGGCCACCUGGAAAUACCAGGUACCUUUGGAUG
rnacentral:rRNA from 1 species